rnacentral:rRNA from 1 species
UACAGAGGUCUCAAGCGUUGUUCGGAUUCAUUGGGCGUAAAGGGUGCGUAGGCGGCGCGGUAAGUCGGGUGUGAAAUCUUGGAGCUUAACUCCGAAACUGCAUUCGAUACUGCCGUGCUUGAGGACUGGAGAGGAGACUGGAAUUUACGGUGUAGCGGUGAAAUGCGUAGAUAUCGUAAGGAGGACCAGUGGCGAAGGCGGGUCUCUGGACAGUUCCUGACGCUGAGGCGCGAAAGCUAGGGGAGCAAACGGG